rnacentral:rRNA from 1 species
AUAGGGGAGCCGUAGGGAAACCGAGUCUUAAUUGGGCGUUAAGUUGCAGGGUAUAGACCCGAAACCCGGUGAUCUAGCCAUGGGCAGGUUGAAGGUUGGGUAACACUAACUGGAGGACCGAACCGACUAAUGUUGAAAAAUUAGCGGAUGACCUGUGGCUGGGGGUGAAAGGCCAAUCAAACCGGGAGAUAGCUGGUUCUCCCCGAAAGCUAUUUAGGUAGCGCCUCGUGAAUUCAUCUCCGGGGGUAGAGCACUGUUUCGGCUAGGGGGCCAUCCCGGCUUACCAACCCGAUGCAAACUGCGAAUACCGGAGAAUGUUAUCACGGGAGACACACGGCGGGUGCUAACGUCCGUCGUGAAGAGGGAAACAACCCAGACCGCCAGCUAAGGUCCCAAAGUCAUGGUUAAGUGGGAAACGAUGUGGGAAGGCCCAGACAGCCAGGAUGUUGGCUUAGAAGCAGCCAUCAUUUAAAGAAAGCGUAAUAGCUCACUGGUCGAGUCGGCCUGCGCGGAAGAUGUAACGGGGCUAAACCAUGCACCGAAGCUGCGGCAGCGA